ncrna:unclassified sequences Lacto-phage-1 RNA
GCCGGCUCUGCUAGUUUCACGGCAACCACGUUGAAAUUACAACGAAAGAAGCUCGCACUCAACUUCAACGGCUUAACGAGUGC